GAGGAUAUAGCUCAGUGGUAGAGCGCCUGCCUACCACUGAAUAAGGCCCUGGGUUCAAUCCCCAGUACCUCCA
rnacentral:tRNA from 1 species